CAGUCGCCACGGGAAUACAGAGGGUGCAAACGUUGUUCGGAAUUACUGGGCGUAAAACGUGCGUAGGCGGUUUGUUAAGUCUGUUGUGAAAUCCCCGGGCUCAACCUGGGAAUGGCAAUGGAUACUGGCAAGCUAGAGUGUGUCAGAGGAUGGUGGAAUUCCCGGUGUAGCGGUGAAAUGCGUAGAGAUCGGGAGGAACAUCAGUGGCGAAGGCGGCCAUCUGGGACAACACUGACGCUGAGGCACGAAAGCGUGGGGAGCAAACAGGAUUAGAUACCCCCGUAGUCCCUGUCUCUUAUAC
rnacentral:rRNA from 1 species